AAUAUUGGACAAUGGGCGAAAGCCUGAUCCAGCCAUGCCGCGUGUGUGAAGAAGGUCUUCGGAUUGUAAAGCACUUCAUGUUGGGUGGAAGGGCAGUAAGUUACUACCUUGCUGUUCUAACGUUACCGACAGAAUAAGCACCGGCUAACUCCGUGCCAGCAGCCGCGGUAAUACGACGGGUGCAAGCGUUAAUCCGAAGUACUGGGGGUAAAGCGCGCGUAGGUGGAUCGUUAAGUUGGAAGUGAAAGCCCCGGGCUUAACCUGGGAAUUGCUUUCAAAACUGACGAGCUAGAAUACGGUAGAGGGUAGUGGAAUUUCCUGUGUAGCGGUGAAAUGCGUAGAUAUAGGAAGGAACAUCAGUGGCGAAGGCGACUACCUGGACUGAUACUGACACUGAGGUGCGAAAGCGUGGGGAGCAAACAGG
rnacentral:rRNA from 1 species